AGCACGGCAGAGGGAGGAGCAUGAGGAUAGGAGGAGCACACGGAUGAGGACGUGGAAGGAGACAAAGGAGAACCAGCCUGGACGAAAUCCGGGCCACCCCAAUUGAUCGUGUGGACGUGGUUUGAGUUUGAGGGAGCCAGGGCAAAGAUUCCAGCCAAUCCUCACCCGCUUCAUGGCGGAUUGCGUCGUCCGGACAUUCCAAAAUGAUAACAGCAGGAGGAGCACACUGUGAACAUGCUCAUAGCAAACAACAGCAUUGGACUGCGCGGACUAUAAUAUCCCAUUCUUACAGACAACACCACCUUCAGUAAUGUCAGCUGGGUAGGUCUGUCAGCAUUGCCCACGUCCUUCAGCGGCAUCACAUACGAAUGAUGCAGCCAUUUGAGAGGAACUCUGAUGGGCUGAAACAGCUGCUUCGUAACUAUGCGCGGAUAAGCAUUUUCUACCACUGCUGCCGCUGGGCCCGUAUUCCACUAUACCGCCCUGCGUCUGAUUAUGUUACUCUGCAAUACUGGUUUAUGUUGUUUCUGUCCCACCAUUUUCACCAUGCUCACCUUUACCGCGGAGGUGGAGAUCACCAGCACUACGGACGCGGGACGCUCCUCCACGCCGCGGAGGUCUGUGGGGAUAUGGAUGAGGGAGCAUGUCUGGGUGGACACGUCACCCCAGACGUGUGGAGAGAAGAAUACGUGAUGUGGAUGAGGUGCUGAGAACAGACCUAAACAGGAGAUGGGAUGCAGUGUCAUUUUUUACUCGUUCAUUGUAUUUCCUUUUUCUUCUUUUUCCUCUUGCAUUUACAUGUUUCCCGCAUCUUCCCUAUUUCAUUUGCUGAUAUCCCUAAUGUUUAUGGUCAAAGUGCCGAUAAAAAUGCUUUGCCUUCGGAAAAAUAAACAUGAUUUUUACUCUA